rnacentral:lncRNA from 1 species
GUCCACAUUUCACAACAUAUUUGUAAUUUUUACAAAGAAAAAAAAGAGACAAUUAUAAUGAGAUUAUGAAAUUUUAUUCCACAUUUAUCGAUUUAUUAUAAAUACAAUUGAAGUUUUUAAAAAAAGUUUCCAACCAUCCACCAGUAAUUGUUCUUUCUAUUGCAUUUCUCAGCUAAAAUUUUGCCGAAUUUUUCAAAAUUUAAAAUAUAAAAAUACAAAGAUAGAGAAGAAUAAAAUAAAGAAAAUUUCAAUUUUUCUUCCCUUCGUCACCGCCUUCUUCCAAGUACUCUUUCUUCCUCCUCUCAGCAUUAGAUAACAGACAAAUCAAAAGGAAACACGUGGCAUACACACCGUGUAUCUUCCAGUUCGUCUUCGGAGGCUGACGAAGCACCACCCUAUGAAACACCGCCACGUAAUAAUGCAGACCUACAGCAAAGCCCACAAAGGUCUGCGCCAAGCCCAAUACCUUAAGGCCCAAACCACAAUCCGUGGAGAAGACGAGAACGAGGUACAUGAGAAGAAGCAAGAGGUAGAAGACGUAGCCUAGGGUUUGCAGGAUCUGCAAGCAAACGUAUGUUGAGCUCGAUGUUGCGUAGAGAAACUUGAGUGGUUCGAUUCCGGUGACGAGCGAUGAGAGGCAUAGGAUUGAGAAGUAGAUCGAGAGGUAGAUUUGGAUGAAGAUUAGGAUCUUCUGGAGUGAGAAAUAAGCUUUGAAUCUGUUGAAAAUGAGUGAGACUAAGAGUAGAGGGACGAGGAUGAAGACGAAAGAGACUACGGAAGCUAUGGUUGGUGCGUAUUUGUUGCCGAAAUAGGGUUUGAAGUUUUUGGUGAUCUGUUUGUUGGCUUUGUUGAUGUAGUUUUUGGAUGUUGUUGAGAUUCGCUCUAGGUCUGGGAUUAGGGAUCUUUGGAAUCUUGUUGGUAGAUCUCUGAAUUCGCUUACGAAAUCUUCGUCUUCUUCGUCGUCUAGCCAGAAUGGUUUGAUUUCUUUCUCGGAUUGUUUCGAUUUGGUCACUGGUUUUGAGGAGGGUUGUGAUUUCUUCUCUGAUGGAGGUGAAGAAAGUUUGGAACUUGGGGGUUUUAUGGUGGUUUUGUUUUUGGAUGAGCUUGAUUUGGACAGAUCUGCUGAUUUCUUGAUCGAAGAAGUAGAAUUUGUGGAUUUUGUUCCGGAAUUGAGCUUCUUGAGCUCAGAGCUGGUCUUGGUUGUGUUAGAAGAAGAUUUUGUGGAGUUAAGUUUGUGAGACGUACCCAUGGUGGUGGUCUUGGCGAGUUUAGUUUGGUUCUUGGUGGAAGAAGAAGAAGAGAUGGGUUUAAGGAGCUUGGUUUGAUUCUUCUUAGUACCAGAUGAUGAUGAUGAUGAUGAAACAGAAUCAGUAAGAAGCUUCUUCUUCUUAGGAGGAGGAGGAAGAUUGGUUUCAUCAUCAUCACCAGUUGAAUCCAGAUCUUUCACCAACAAUCUUCUCACUCGGAAAUGAGGAUCUAUUCGUUGUAGCUCAUGAUCAUCAACUGAUGAGGCAAAGAAAGAAGAAGAAGAGAAUAGGAAGAGACUGGAAUAGAGCAACAACAAGAGUACCUUUCUAAAACACAAGUACUUGAGUGGAGACAUUACUUUGCUCUGAAACCUAGGAAUCCCCUCACUGUUUCAGACAGAUCUAGCGAACAGAGAUCGCAAGCUUGUCAAUAUAUAGGAAAAGAGAAAGAGAGAGAGAGAGAAGCAUUAGUGACAGUGUGCAUAUGUGUUUAUAUAUGAGUGUUUGUGUGUGUGUGAACGAUAAGAGAGAAGAUGGAGACCAGAGAAUUUACUAAUUCAGUCCCUUUGAUAAUAUCAAUGUACUUACUACUGUUUAACCGCACCGUCAUGUUGCAGAUUCUCUGCUACUUGUCUAAUUUUUUAUAUGAUUCUGCAUUUUUUUGUAUUUAUGUGAUUGUUUGUAUUUGGUAGGUGAUAAGUAAAAAAAAAAUGAAUUGUUGGAAAGUUUCAUUGUACGUGAGUAGUAGUAAAAAAACAAUAGCAAUCAUUUGCGAGAUCUAAAAUUAGAAAAGUCGUUUUCUUAUAAAUAAAUAUAGAAGAGACAUUUUU